rnacentral:rRNA from 1 species
UUGUUGGUGAGGUAAAAGCUCACCAAGGCUUCGAUCUUUAGCUGGUUUGAGAGGAUGAUCAGCCACACUGGGACUGAGACACGGCCCAGACUCCUACGGGAGGCAGCAGUAGGGAAUAUUGGACAAUGGGGGCAACCCUGAUCCAGCAAUGCAGCGUGAGUGACGAAGGCCUUAGGGUUGUAAAACUCUUUCAUCGGUGAGGAUAAUGACAGUAGCCGAAGAAGAAGGACCGGCUAAUUCCGUGCCAGCAGCCGCGGUAAUACGGAAGGUCCUAGCGUUGUUCGGAAUUACUGGGCGUAAAGCGCAUGUAGGCGGAACAGAAAGUUAGAAGUGAAAUCCCUGGGCUCAACCUAGGAAUUGCUUUUAAAACUUCUGUUCUGGAAUUCAGGAGAGGAAAAUGGAAUUUCCAGUGUAGAGGUGAAAUUCGUAGAUAUUGGAAGGAACACCAGUGGCGAAGGCGAUUUUCUGGACUGAUAUUGACGCUGAGAUGCGAAGGCAUGGGUAGCAAACGGGAUUAGAUACCCCGGUAGUCCAUGCAGUAAACGAUGGGUGCUAGUCGUCGGACUUUUGUUCGGUGUCGUAGCUAACGCGUUAAGCACCCCGCCUGGGGAGUACGGUCGCAAGAUUAAAACUCAAAUAAAUUGACGGGGACCCGCACAAGCAGUGGAGCAUGUGGUUUAAUUCGACGCAACGCGAAGAACCUUACCAGCGUUUGACAUGGAAAGUACCGGUUACAGAAUGGUAACCUUCAGUUCGGCUGGCUUUCGCACAGGUGCUGCAUGGCUGUCGUCAGCUCGUGUCGUGAGAUGUUGGGUUAAGUCCCGCAACGAGCGCAACCCUUAUCGUUAGUUACUAACAGUUCGGCUGAGGACUCUAGCGAAACUGCCGGUGAUAAGCCGGAGGAAGGUGGGGAUGACG